GUGUGUGUGUGCGUGCGCGCGCGUGUGUUCCUUCUUUCCACUCCUGAUCUCCUCCAUCCACCCCCGCGGCCCCGAGCCAUCUCCGGAAAAUGCCAGACUCUGCCUCCCCUGUACAACUCUGGGGGCGCGCCCACGGACCUCCUUUCCGUCCACGCACCUGCCCGCCGGACGUCCCACCAUUUUGUGGAGCGCAAAACUGAAACCUGGAAGCUCUUCCCCCAUCCCAGAGACUAAGGACUUGAAAAGAACGCGAUCACGAUACCCUUACCCCACCUUACCGAAUUGAGAAUAAUUCCCUCUUCUCCACUUUCUGGAAGUCUCGCUUGUCCAGGACGACCGGUCUACUGCCUCCCCGUCCUGAUGGGCGGCCACGAUGAAGCCGGACCCACGGGUCCCAGCACAGAAUGUGGCACGUGUGGGACAAGGAUUUUUGAACUGAGUUUAGAACAGGGAUUCUAACUCUGUUUUUCUGCUCAGGUUUUAAGUGGGCUAAGCACUUAGUUCCCAGAUGAUUUCUAGGUUGCUGGUAACGUACUGUAAGUGUCAGGGAGAAGAGACUUGGCUGGCAGCCCUUUCUCAGAUGUUCCAAGCAAACAUGCAAACGGUUCUCAAACCUUAGCCUGGUCUCAAUGCCCGUCUUCCCUGAAAGCUGUUUUCGCUUUAUAACCACAGGACGUUUCAAAUCAAAUUCCAGAAAGUGCCUCGCAAUUAAAAUUUUACACUGCCUGUCGCUACGUGCCAGCUUCGCUACUGCUUUUCGUCACUGCCCAUUAUAAAUAAUGACCCUGGCAUGCGUUUUGUUACUAGAGCCAUUAACCCAACUAACCGUUCCGCUCACAUGAAACAAGCCGUGCAUCUGCUAAGGUGACUUGGUGGGUAGAUUUCUUUUUCCUUUUGUUUUUUGUUUUUUGUUUUUUUGUUUUUUUUUUUUUUCCUUCUGCAGAACCCGAUGACACACAAUAAAAUGAGCAAAUGGAAAUUUCAGGGAAAUGUACAUCAGAGCUACCGAUCCUUCAUGGGGUAUCUACGUAUGGCUUAUAGCACGAAACAUUUUUGUCCACUCUUGGGGCUGCCGUGUUGACAAAAUGAGAUUGCUUUUGCACGGGCGUGUCCCACCUUAAUCUCCUUUUAUCUGCAGAUAAAAGGAAUUACCUUCUCUUCCCAGGGAGCCCAUGAAGGAGUAGAGAGCAGGUGGGGUUUGGUUUCACACAGACUAGGGUGUUGGCUUACAGCUCUGACAUUCAUUAACUGAGCAAUUAGAAGCUUCAGAUCUUUGCGCCUCAUUUCCCUUGUCUGUAAAACGGGAAUAAUAAUGCAGAUAAUAAUAUACCUCUCAGCGCCGUGAGAAAAGCUCACCACAGGCUGGCCAGUGGCCAUGGCAUGGCCUGACUAAAAAAGUCACUAGAUAGUGAUGAAUAGCCCCAAUCAAGUAAUUUAAAAAAUAACUUUAUUUGAAGAAAUGAGUACCCCAAAAGUCCAGACAGUGGGUGUGGCAGACAGAAUAACAGUCCCCAGAGAUAUUCAUAUCCUAAUCCCUUGAAUUUGUGAAUAUGUUAUAUUUACAGACGUGGGUAAGUUAAAGGUCUGGGGACGGAGCGAUCGCCCUGGGUUAUCCAGGUGGACACCAUGUCACCACAAGAGUCCUUUUAAUCCGGGGGUCAGAAUCAGGGAAGGGGAUGUGAGGACAGAAGCAGAGGUUGGAGUGAUGUAGAGCCACGGGCUCAGGGCUGCAAGCAGCGUCUAGGAGCUGGAAAUCCAUUGUCUCCUAGAGCCUCCAGAAGGGAUGCAGCCCUGUCAACAGCUUGAUUUUAGCCUGUGAGAUGCAUUUUUAGACCUUUGAUGGUCAGAACUAUACAAUAAUAAAUUGGUGUUGUUUUAAGCCA